rnacentral:rRNA from 1 species
GGAAGUAAAAGUCGUAACAAGGGUUUCCGUAGGUGAACCUGCGGAAGGGUCAUUAUUG